rnacentral:rRNA from 1 species
UGGAGGGCAAGUCUGGUGCCAGCAGCCGCGGUAAUUCCAGCUCCAAUAGCGUAUAUUAAAGUUGUUGCAGUUAAAAAGCUCGUAGUUGAAUUUCGGGGUUCUACCGUUGGUCGGGCUUUGUCUGUACUGGUGUGUAGAAUUUCUACCUUCUGGGGAACCAUCAUGCUAUUAAUUUAGCGUGGUGGGAAACCAGGACCUUUACCUUGAAAAAAUUAGUGUGUUCAAAGCAGGCUUAUGUCUGAAUACAUUAGCGUGGAAUAGUAGAAUAGGACGGUGGUCCUGUUUUGUUGGUUUCUGAAUCACCGUAAUGAUUAAUAGGGAUAGUUGGGGGCAUUAGUAUUCAAUUGUCAGAGGUGAAAUUCUUGGAUUUAUUGAAGACUAACUUCUGCGAAAGCAUUUGCCAAGGAUGUUUUCAUUAAUCAAGAACGAAAGUUAGGGGAUCGAAGACGAUCAGAUACCGUCGUAGUCUUAACCAUAAACUAUGCCGACUAGGGAUCGGACGAUGUUAAUUUUUCUUGACUCGUUCGGCGCCUUACGGGAAAC